UUUUUUUGGAUUCCUGAAUAUACGUCUCUCUCUCUCUCUCUUCUUCUUCUUCUUCUUUAUCUUCUUCUUCUCCAUCGGCAUCUCAUACAAACGCACGAGCACUACCAGCUGCUGCCCCUCAAAUCACUACUGAUAUCUUUUGAGCUUGGCGUUUGAUUCUAAUUCUGAGCUUGGAGUUCGAUUCGAUUCUGAGCCCCUUCCAUGAAUUUGAUUUUGUUUGGUUUCCACUUGUAUGAAUGCUUGUUUUGUUUGAAGCUCAUACACCUCUCUAGCCUCCGUCUCCGCCAAAUUCCACCGCGAUCUCUAGAAAAGCCUCCAUCACGAUGAGCAUCGAGACAUUUCUUCUUCUUCUUUUUUUGAUACGGGCGAUUAAUUGAACAAGCAUAAUGUUGAAGUUGAUGCAAGUUUUAUGGAUGCAAAUCUUUCUAGAUUGGAUAGGAUCAAAGUAAUGUCAAAUGUAAGUUGUUGCAUUGGGAGGGGACAAACUUGGUGGUUGCAGAGGGCCAAAUUGCAUCAAGGGAUCCUAAGUCAAAUGUGCAUCAUGUGAACCUUGGACUUAUGUGUUCGAACGUAUGGGUGAACCACGUAAUAGUCAACGUGCUGUUGUUUUGUUCUACUCAUGAAAUGUAUAAUCUUCGAGAUGUUAUAUGAAGUAUAGUUGCAUGGCUUAGUCAAUUCAUUCUUUCGGACUAAAUAUUAGACUAAUUGAUUUAUGAUUUGUAGUUAUGCUUUUUGGAUGUUUAAAGUCGUAUUUUAGAGAUUAAUGAAUCUUAUGAUUUGGAUACUUUUCUUGGUUUGUAUGUUUGAAGUUGUUAUUAGCUUGAUAUGAUAGAAGUUGAGGAUAGAAGUUAGUAUGCA